UCAAACUUGGUCAUUUAGAGGAAGUAAAAGUCGUAACAAGGUCUCCGUUGGUGAACCAGCGGAGGGAUCAUUACAGGACUCACACUCCCGUAAUACCACUGUGAAUCUUACCUACCGUCGUUGCCUCGGCGGGGUCGGUCCCCCUUGGGGGGCGCCCGCCGGCGGCCCGCAUACUCUGUCUCAGCGUGUUGGCAUCUCCGAGUACAAUACAAACGAGUCAAAACUUUCAACAACGGAUCUCUUGGUUCUGGCAUCGAUGAAGAACGCAGC
rnacentral:misc_RNA from 1 species